AAAAAUGAUGAAUGACAAUUGCGUGAACAAUCUCUGAAAGGUAUACCUUUGGUAUGUCAUUGAUUAUAAACACUUGUUGCCUUCCUUCUGAUA
rnacentral:snoRNA from 1 species